AUGUCAACUGGCGCCGCGUUUGCCGCCCCAUAUCGAACGGAGGCCUGGGAGUCCAGGAUCUGGAGCGCGCUAGCCUUGCUCUGCGGCUACGAUGGCUAUGGUUCUCGCGCACUGACCAUGAGCGCGCCUGGAAUGGCCUGGACCUACAAUUCUCUGCCGAGGAGCGAGCGCUCUUCUUCGCGUCCACCACGAUGA
rnacentral:rRNA from 1 species